rnacentral:rRNA from 1 species
GAUGAACGCUGGCGGCGUGCCUAAUACAUGCAAGUCGAGCGAAUGGAUUAAGAGCUUGCUCUUAUGAAGUUAGCGGCGGACGGGUGAGUAACACGUGGGUAACCUGCCCAUAAGACUGGGAUAACUCCGGGAAACCGGGGCUAAUACCGGAUAACAUUUUGAACCGCAUGGUUCGAAAUUGAAAGGCGGCUUCGGCUGUCACUUAUGGAUGGACCCGCGUCGCAUUAGCUAGUUGGUGAGGUAACGGCUCACCAAGGCAACGCUGCGUAGCCGACCUGAGAGGGUGAUCGGCCACACUGGGACUGAGACACGGCCCAGACUGCUACGGGAGGCAGAAGUAGGGAAUCUUCCGAAAUGGACGAAAGUCUGACGGAGCAACGCCGCGUGAGUGAUGAAGGCUUUCGGGUCGUAAAACUCUGUUGUUAGGGAAGAACAAGUGCUAGUUGAAUAAGCUGGCACCUUGACGGUACCUAACCAGAAAGCCACGGCUAACUACGUGCCAGCCGCCGCAGUAA